rnacentral:lncRNA from 8 species
CAAUGGGACAUGCUAGGGGUCAGUGGGGUCAGUGUGUUUAACCUGGUGGUGUGCUGCUGUAAUUCAUAGGUUUGACAGGCACUGUGGCAGUCCACCAGGUUUCCAGGGAAGGAGUGGAGUUGUUCCUUAUCACCACUCUUUGCAUGCUGAGAUCCAGGACAUUCAGCAGGUGACAAAGGCUUUAGUUCUGCAGUUGGUUAUCAAAAGCUCUAUCGUGUUACUAUAGGUUUAUUAUAAUGGUGUAUUUCCCUCAGCAGCGUGGGGUUCUGGAGGAGAUGACUGGUCCAGUAUGUGGGGUUCGGUCCUCUCACACUCAGAGGGACGAUAUCCAAAACAUAAUUCACAGGAUCAAGUCUGCUGAGCUGGCCCACCUUCUCCACGCACAUUACCCAGAGAGGGUGAGAACACACACACACACACACACACACACACACACACACACACACACACACACACACACACACACACACACACACACACACACACACACACACACACACACACACACACACCUGUGUCUGCUGAAUGAUAAAAGUGUAGGAAGCUGUUUUGAGGGUCUGAUGUCUGUUCAAUCACUCAGGACUCUGUUGGUGGUUGUGCUGUUGAGACCCUGGAGAGGCCAUAUCCCCACAGCCAGCAGCCACAGCCUAGCAUCAAGCAGCAGCUGGUUAAUGUGUAUACUGAAGGAACUGGAGCUGCAGACGACUCUGUGGGAGGAGAGAGAGGAGAAUGUGGCGGAACAGCGGAGGCUACGGGAGCAGCAGGAGCAGAAGCAGAAGCCCCAGGCCAAGAGGGAAGCUGUGGUGAACUGGUGGAGAACCCUUAAGGUGGAUGGGAGUAGGACCAACGUCAAGCCGGAAGACACCCUGACCCAGCCCAGCAAGGCCCUCACUGACGCAGAGUCCAAGCUCCAACAGGCAAAGCACACCAUCACAAAGAUUAGGGAGCAGGUGCGCCACCUUGAGUUGGCCCUGAAAACUGCCCAGGAGGGCGUAGCUGAGCACAAAAACAUUCAGGACAGGGUGGGUGUUCUUCACAAAGACAAGGAGACCAACACGGUGAGAGAGGGACCUGGCCGGACUGGGGAGGAGGCAUCAAAGGAGUGUAAGGACGUGGCUGUGGCUACAGACCAUGUGGAGGACCCAGGUAGAUCAGAGAAGGUAGCAGCCCAGCUUGUGACCUCAGAGGGUCUACUGGUGACCCUCAGGAGGAUGGAGGCCAUGGUCAGCAGUGCCCUGGAGGCAGCUGAGCUGGUCAGGGAGAGUCAGCGAAGGGUCAGCCAGGUCAAGGAGAGGAUGGAGAGCAUCACUCAGAAGAUGGAGGAAGCUCUGACCAGAGCAGUGGACACAGAGGGUCAGCUCAGUGCCCUGGAGGCCAGGGUCACAGCCAAACCUCAGGUCAGUUUGCAUAGUCUAUUCUGUGUAUUACAAGAAUAGUGAGCUCAAAUAAGGCCUGACAGUAAAAGUUUAGAAUUUUAAUUAAUCUAGUAUCUGCAUGUUUAAUAUGCAGCCUCACAUCUAUGUUCACAUAUCUGCUUUUGCAAUGAUUACCAAUGAUCUAUUAUACUAGGCUGUUUUCCUCCGGUAAAAUCCUUAAAAGUUAUUUACAGCUGUUUCAUUUGCAUUUCCUCUCUCUCUUCUGUUCCGAAGUUGCUAGGUUCGAUAGGGCAGACAGCCCAGCCUGAUGUUGAAGCUAUAGGCAGAGACACACCCAGGAACCCCUCUCCACCAGAGCCUAUGACCGAAAGCUACAGCAAGUCUAGAUGGCCCCUUAUAAGCGGUAUGAUGAGACUACUACUACUGAAAUACAGGGCAAACACAGCAUUUGUAUGUCACUGAAUGUAGCAGUAUUAAUUAGCCUAUUAUAUUGUAAGAGGAGAAACACAGAAAGAAACAAAUUAGUUAGCCACUUUCUUUUUUAUUAGUAAUCCCUGGGGACACUACUUAAAUAGACCCAGCAGACUAUAACGUACACAAAGCAGUUGGCGCAGAGUGUCAAGGCC